UGAUGUCCGUUCCGCUUCCUGUCUGAAGUCCAGCAGGAAGCUUUGAUGACAUCACAGAGAAAUUGGGGGUCUUUUUCACCCAGAAAGCUGCAGGCAACAUGCCAAACGUCAAACAGCUUGCUGGUUUUGCGGGACCUCACAAAC